rnacentral:tRNA from 1 species
CGCGGGAUAGAGCAGUUGGCAGCUCGCCAGGCCCAUAACCUGGAGGUCGCUGGUUCGAAUCCAGCUCCCGCAACAA